rnacentral:sRNA from 1 species
UCUUAAAUUCACCCGCUGGCAACGAACCAUGGCAACGAGGGUGAUAGGGGCGUAAAAUAAAAUGGGGACGAAUAUUUCUCUGUACAUACAGUAGAAUCUACUUAAAUAUGUAUGCAUAUAUACGUUGUGAAGAAGGGUAUUCCAUCAUCUUUUGAACAAAUAUAUAUAUAUAUAUAUAUAUAUAUAUAUGUACAAAUAUAGUAAUACUUUCUCUCUUGCAGAAAUCUGACAUCAUGUAUUUUCACAAUUUUCUUCCAAAAUUCUCCAAUAUUUCACUAUAUUAUUAAUCUGUGACCUUACAUUGUUGAACAAUGCUUGCAGCUUUAGGUAUCAAUAUAUAUAUGCAAAACCUGCACAGAAAAGCUGAGUAUGUUGUUACAAAUUGUUAUAUAUUAUCUAUAAUAUCCAUUGUUUAAUGUUAAUAAACAAAUAUCUAU